rnacentral:rRNA from 1 species
AAUCGGAAUUACUGGGCGUAAAGACGCAUGCAGGUGGUUUGUUAAGUUCAGAUGUGAAAGACCCGGGGCGUCAACCUCCGGAAUAGCAUUUGAAACUAGGCAGACUAGAGUACUGUAGAGGGGGGUAGGAAGUUUCAGGUGUAGCGGUGAAAUGCGUAGAGAUCUGAAGGAAUACCGGUGGCGAAGGCGGCCCCCUCGGACAGAUACUGACACUCAGAUGCGAAAGCGUGGGGAGCAAACAGGAUUAGAUACCCUGGUAG